rnacentral:rRNA from 1 species
GAAGAACACGUAUGAGAGUAACUGUUCAUACGUUGACGGUAUUUAACCAGAAAGUCACGGCUAACUACGUGCCAGCAGCCGCGGUAAUACGUAGGUGGCAAGCGUUAUCCGGGAUUUAUUGGGCGUAAAGAGAGUGCAGGCGGUUUUUUAAGUCUGAUGUGAAAGCCUUCGGCUUAACCGGAGAAGUGCAUCGGAAACUGGAUAACUUGAGUGCAGAAGAGGGUAGUGGAACUCCAUGUGUAGCGGUGGAAUGCGUAGAUAUAUGGAAGAACACCAGUGGCGAAGGCGGCUACCUGGUCUGCAACUGACGCUGAGACUCGAAAGCAUGGGUAGCGAACAGGAUUAGAUACCCUGGUAGUCCAUGCCGUAAACGAUGAGUGCUAGGUGUUGGAGGGUUUCCGCCCUUCAGUGCCGGAGCUAACGCAUUAAGCACUCCGCCUGGGGAGUACGACCGCAAGGUUGAAACUCAAAGGAAUUGACGGGGGCCCGCACAAGCGGUGGAGCAUGUGGUUUAAUUCGAAGCUACGCGAAGAACCUUACCAGGUCUUGACAUCUUGCGCCAACCCUAGAGAUAGGGCGUUUCCUUCGGGAACGCAAUGACAGGUGGUGCAUGGUCGUC